GGGUUGUGAGGUUAAGCGACUAAGCGUACACGGUGGAUGCCCUGGCAGUCAGAGGCGAUGAAGGGCGUGCUAAUCUGCGAUAAGCGCCGGUAAGGUGAUAUGAACCGUUAUAACCGGCGAUACCCGAAUGGGGAAACCCAGUGUGACUCGUCACACUAUCAUUAACUGAAUCCAUAGGUUAAUGAGGCGAACCGGGGGAACUGAAACAUCUAAGUACCCCGAGGAAAAGAAAUCAACCGAGAUUCCCCCAGUAGCGGCGAGCGAACGGGGAGGAGCCCAGAGCCUGAAUCAGCAUGUGUGUUAGUGGAAGCGUCUGGAAAGGCGCGCGAUACAGGGUGACAGCCCCGUACACAAAAGCGCAUGUGCUGUGAGCUCGAUGAGUAGGGCGGGACACGUGGUAUCCUGUCUGAAUAUGGGGGGACCAUCCUCCAAGGCUAAAUACUCCUGACUGACCGAUAGUGAACCAGUACCGUGAGGGAAAGGCGAAAAGAACCCCGGCGAGGGGAGUGAAAAAGAACCUGAAACCGUGUACGUACAAGCAGUGGGAGCCCCACCACCAAAGCAUUCUCUGGUGUUGAAGGCCCUGCAAAGCAGCAUCGCGGUGGCGGAGCGUCGUUUGCGACGCCCAACACACAAAACAAGCGGUGAAUGCUUUGGGGUGGGGUGACUGCGUACCUUUUGUAUAAUGGGUCAGCGACUUAUAUUCUGUAGCAAGGUUAACCGAAUAGGGGAGCCGGAGGGAAACCGAGUCUUAACCGGGCGUUAAGUUGCAGGGUAUAGACCCGAAACCCGGUGAUCUAGCCAUGGGCAGGUUGAAGGUUGGGUAACACUAACUGGAGGACCGAACCGACUAAUGUUGAAAAAUUAGCGGAUGACCUGUGGCUGGGGGUGAAAGGCCAAUCAAACCGGGAGAUAGCUGGUUCUCCCCGAAAGCUAUUUAGGUAGCGCCUCGUGAAUUCAUCUCCGGGGGUAGAGCACUGUUUCGGCUAGGGGGCCAUCCCGGCUUACCAACCCGAUGCAAACUGCGAAUACCGGAGAAUGUUAUCACGGGAGACACACGGCGGGUGCUAACGUCCGUCGUGAAGAGGGAAACAACCCAGACCGCCAGCUAAGGUCCCAAAGUCAUGGUUAAGUGGGAAACGAUGUGGGAAGGCCCAGACAGCCAGGAUGUUGGCUUAGAAGCAGCCAUCAUUUAAAGAAAGCGUAAUAGCUCACUGGUCGAGUCGGCCUGCGCGGAAGAUGUAACGGGGCUAAACCAUGCACCGAAGCUGCGGCAGCGACACUGUGUGUUGUUGGGUAGGGGAGCGUUCUGUAAGCCUGUGAAGGUGUGUCGUGAGGCAUGCUGGAGGUAUCAGAAGUGCGAAUGCUGACAUAAGUAACGAUAAAGCGGGUGAAAAGCCCGCUCGCCGGAAGACCAAGGGUUCCUGUCCAACGUUAAU
rnacentral:rRNA from 1 species